rnacentral:rRNA from 1 species
GACGAACGCUGGCGGCGUGCUUAACACAUGCAAGUCGUACGGUAAGGCCCUUUCGGGGGUACACGAGUGGCGAACGGGUGAGUAACACGUGAGUAACCUGCCCACAACUUUGGGAUAACGCUAGGAAACUGGUGCUAAUACUGGAUAUGUGCUCCUGCUGCAUGGUGUGGGUUGGAAAGCUCCGGCGGUUGUGGAUGGACUCGCGGCCUAUCAGCUUGUUGGUGGGGUAGUGGCCUACCAAGGCGGCGACGGGUAGCCGGCCUGAGAGGGUGACCGGCCUCAUUGGGACUGAGAUACGGCCCAGACUCCUACGGGAGGCAGCAGUGGGGAAUAUUGCACAAUGGGCGCAAGCCUGAUGCAGCAACGCCGCGUGCGGGAUGACGGCCUUCGGGUUGUAAACCGCUUUCAGCAGGGACGAAGCUUUUUGUGACGGUACCUGCAGAAGAAGCACCGGCUAACUACGUG